rnacentral:rRNA from 1 species
GAUGAACGCUGGCGGCGUGCCUAAUACAUGCAAGUCGAGCGAACGGACGAGAAGCUUGCUUCUCUGAUGUUAGCGGCGGACGGGUGAGUAACACGUGGUUAACCUACCUAUAAGACUGGGAUAACUUCGGGAAACCGUAGCUAAUACCGGAUAAUAUUUUGAACCGCAUGGUUCAAAAGUGAAAGACGGUCUUGCUGUCACUUAUAGAUGGAUCCGCGCUGCAUUAGCUAGUUGGUAAGGUAACGGCUUACCAAGGCAACGAUGCAUAGCCGACCUGAGAGGGUGAUCGGCCACACUGGAACUGAGACACGGUCCAGACUCCUACGGGAGGCAGCAGUAGGGAAUCUUCCGCAAUGGGCGAAAGCCUGACGGAGCAACGCCGCGUGAGUGAUGAAGGUCUUCGGAUCGUAAAACUCUGUUAUUAGGGAAGAACAUAUGUGUAAGUAACUGUGCACAUCUUGACGGUACCUAAUCAGAAAGCCACGGCUAACUACGUG